AUGAGGUUCCAAUGGUUAGUUUUGGAUUUUUUCAGGCAAGAAAGCAAAGAAGAAGGGAGGAUUCUCUAUUACCAACUUCCCCCAUUGUCCUGUCCUCAUUGGUCAUUCAUCUUUCCCGAUCUAGUGCCAUCGUUCUUCAAGGUGCCGGAGGGUUUGAAGCAUACCUACUACCCCUCCCCUGAGCUUAGUUCAGAGUUGCCUCAGCGCGCUCGAGUAAUAACUGGGAAAAUCAAGGCUGGACAGGUCUUCGAGCCAACUUCAGGAAGAAAUGCAAGUGAAAGAGAAUGCUCUCGAGGGCGCAUGAGUCUUUUCUUUCUUAUUUGA
rnacentral:rRNA from 1 species